rnacentral:rRNA from 1 species
GACGAACGCUGGCGGCGUGCCUAAUACAUGCCAGUCGAACGCUUCUUUCCUCCCGAGUGCUUGCACUCAAUUGGAAAGAGGAGUGGCGGACGGGUGAGUAACACGUGGGUAACCUACCCAUCAGAGGGGGAUAACACUUGGAAACAGGUGCUAAUACCGCAUAACAGUUUAUGCCGCAUGGCAUAAGAGUGAAAGGCGCUUUCGGGUGUCGCUGAUGGAUGGACCCGCGGUGCAUUAGCUAGUUGGUGAGGUAACGGCUCACCAAGGCAACGAUGCAUAGCCGACCUGAGAGGGUGAUCGGCCACACUGGGACUGAGACACGGCCCAGACUCCUACGGGAGGCAGCAGUAGGGAAUCUUCGGCAAUGGACGAAAGUCUGACCGAGCAACGCCGCGUGAGUGAAGAAGGUUUUCGGAUCGUAAAACUCUGUUGUUAGAGAAGAACAAGGGCGUUAGUAACUGAACGUCCCCUGACGGUAUCUAACCAGAAAGACACGGCUAACUACGUG